UACCUGCCAAGUUGCGCUGUGCAGUGCCA
rnacentral:piRNA from 1 species